rnacentral:rRNA from 1 species
AAAUCACAAUGCGGAACAAUGUUUUGCAAUUGGAUUGAGAACAACGUACAAACCUUAUCGAUAAACAAUUGGAGGGCAAGUCUGGUGCCAGCAGCCGCGGUAAUUCCAGCUCCAAUAGCGUAUAUUAACGUUGUUGCAGUUAAAAAGCUCGUAGUUGAAAUGAAGGGUAGUUGUGUAAUGAAUACAUUCGUGUAUUUUGUUAUUCUACUACCCUCCUUCUAAAUUCGAUAUAUGAGUAUUAAUUUACUUGUAUAUGGUUUUAGACGUUUACUGUGAGAAAAUUAGAGUGUUCAAAGCAGGCAUUUGCUUGAAUAUAUUAGCAUGGAAUAAUCAUGUAUGAUUUUCAUGAUGUAUUUGAUUGGUUUGGUUCAUGAGAAUAAGAUUAAAAGGGACAGUUGGGGGUAUUCAUAUUCAAUAGUCAGAGGUGAAAUUCUCGGAUUUAUGGAAGAU